AGGCGGGCUUCGACUGAGGCCACGGAUUUUACACCAAUUAGAGCAAGAGAAAAUACGUCACCAUCGCCAUGGAUACAGGGUCCUCCUCCAUAUUGUACACUCUCAGCGGGCGUGGCUGGACUCCAGAGAUGGUGGUGUAACCCAGAAAACGAUAUUGGAAAAUAUGAAGAUUAAACUACCGAUGGACCCUUGAGGACGCGGACGCACCCUUAGAACCCAUUAAAACCCAUCAUUCCAAUGGGAAAAUCAUCAGUGGAAACCGCUUGGAAAUUUGCCUUUAUCUUAGAGCUGGCUGAGGUCUGGUGAGUGUUCAGGAUUCUCCUCAGAAAAACACGCGGCUCCGCUGCGUCACUCACAACAUCUAACUAGUCUGUCUGAAAAAGCCAGUGUUUUUCCCCCAACUACUCACCCCCCCCCCCCCCACCCCCCACCCCCCCUUUCUUGUCUCCAUAUCUGCACUUCAUGAAAACAGAGCUCAUUUAUAGAUCAUUAUUGGUAUAACUAAAGCUCUAUGUAUAGUUAAAUAUAGCAGUGGAUGUCUGAUUUGAUAGGAAUAUGCUUGUACAUACUUCUUUAUCCAAUCAAGAUGGAUGUGCUGUGACAGUGACUUUACAUUUACAACGAUUACACUCGUUUCUUUCAGUUUGUUACUCUCAGUUCAAAUAACUUACUGUAAUCUUUCUGAACAUGUGAUUUUAAAUGGUGUACUUGUGUGCUUUGGGGAAAUGAAACCAAAGGAAUAAAGUUUU